AAAUGCUAUGCUACCCGCUGCAGGACCACGAUCACGACCACGGCUCAGUCCUCUGGAUAGUUCACGUAAAGGUGGUCUGUCUCCUCAUCGUACUGCCACGCCAGCUGGGUGCCGUCGGGAUCAUCUGUCUCUGGGGUACCUGUACCUGCUGGGAGUUUCGGAGGAAUCCUUGAGCCACGAGGACUCAGCAAUCUAAGACCUUGGUGCCAUAACUAGUCAUGUUAUUGGGUAAGGUAGGGAUGAAGUGUAUCCGACUGCAGCAACCUAUGCUUGAAUAAGUGGCUAACUUACGCAAAAAUAGAAGUAAAGGUGGUCUACACUAACGGUCGGAUUAACGGCAAAAGGCUAGGCCUCCCGUCAUUUACCAAGUAUAUAGGUGGAUUAAUUAAAUGACAGAAUUUAAUAUAAUGAUAUCAAGCUCAUGUCAUCCCAUGAGUUUAAAACACCUGCAACUAACAAUGCUAACAUUAGUAGCUGAGCAAGCCUACUUAGCCACACAAGUUUGCUAGGAAGGGGAACGUUGUAUGGGCUCAUGGCAUAUGAAGAGGCAAUUUCAUUUCAGUGGUAGGCAGCAAGCAAUAUGACAUGGAAACAAAACUAACAUAACAAGUCUAGAGAUGGAAUCAAGGUCAUAUCAUCUUGCCUGUGAUAUCCUCAGCUUGGAAUGGUUCUGGAUCGUCCUGCGCGUACUCUCCUGACUCCACGUAUUCGUUCUCUGCUCCCGGUGCU
rnacentral:lncRNA from 1 species